UACGAAGGGGGCUAGCGUUGCUCGGAAUCACUGGGCGUAAAGGGUGCGUAGGCGGGUCUUUAAGUCAGGGGUGAAAUCCUGGAGCUCAAUUCCAGAACUGCCUUUGAUACUGAAGAUCUUGAGUUCGGGAGAGGUGAGUGGAACUGCGAGUGUAGAGGUGAAAUUCGUAGAUAUUCGCAAGAACACCAGUGGCGAAGGCGGCUCACUGGCCCGAUACUGACGCUGAGGCACGAAAGCGUGGGGAGCAAACAGG
rnacentral:rRNA from 1 species